CUCCAUUUGGGGUCUCUGUUUUGGGGUCUCCGUUUUUGGGACCGCGGUUUGGGGUCUCCGUUUUGGGUUUCAGUUUUGGGGUCUCGGUUUUGGGAACCGCAGUUUGGGGUCUCGGUUUUGGGGUCUCACUUUGGGGUCCUGAGUUUUUAGGAACUCCCUUUGGGGUCUCAACUUUUGGGGUCUCAGUUUUGGGGUCUCAGUUUUGGGGUCUCCGUUUUGGAUAUCAAUUUGGGGGUCUCACUUUGGAGCCUCCGUUUUUGGGACCGCAGUUUGGGGUCUCAGAUUUUGGGUCUCAGAUUUGGGCUCUCAUUUUGGGGUCUCAAUUUUCGGACUCUCAUUUUGGGGUCUCAGAUUUGGGCUCUCAUUUUGGGGUCUCAGAUUUUGGGGUCUCAGAUUUGGGCUCUCAUUUUGGGGUCUUGGUUUGGGCUGUCAGAUUUUGGGGUCUCCAUUUUUGGGGUCUCAUUUUGGGCUCUCGGUUUGGGGUCUCCAUUUUUGGGCUCUCAUUUUGUGGUCUCAGAUUUUGGGGUCUCAUUUUGGGCUCUCAUUUUGGGGUCUCCAUUUUUGGGGUCUCAUUUUGGGCUCUCAGAUUUUGGGGUCUCAUUUUGGGGUCUCCGUUUUUGGACUCUCAUUUUGGGGUCUCAGUUUGGGCUCUCAUUUUGGGGUCUCCAUUUUCGGACUCUCAUUUUGGGGUCUCAGAUUUGGGCUCUCAUUUUGGGGUCUCAGUUUGGGCUCUCAGAUUUGGACUCAUUUUGGGAUCUCCACUUUGGGCUCUCAUUUUGGGGUCUCAGAUUUUGGGGUCUCAUUUUGUGGUCUCAGAUUUUGGGGUCUCAGAUUUGGGCUCUCAUUUUGGGGUCUCAGAUUUUGGGGUCUCGAUUUUGGGCUCUCAUUUUGGGGUCUCAGAUUUUGGGGUCUCAGUUUGGGCUCUCAUUUUGGGGUCUCUCGGAUUUGGGCUCUCGUUUUGGGGUCCCCAUUUUCGGACUCUCAUUUUGGGGUCUCAGAUUUGGGCUCUCAUUUUGGGGUCUCCAUUUUUGGGGUCUCAUUUUGGGCUCUCAGAUUUUGGGGUCUCAUUUUGGGGUCUCGGUUUUGGACUCAUUUUGGGCUCUCAGAUUUUGGGGUCUCGGUUUGGGCUCUCAUUUUGGGCUCUCAUUUUGUGGUCUCAGAUUUGGGGCUCUCGUUUUGGGGUCUCCAUUUUUGGGGUCUCAUUUUGGGCUCUCAGAUUUUGGGGUCUCAUUUUGGGGUCUCAUUUUGGGG
rnacentral:lncRNA from 1 species